AACGGCACGGAGGGCAUUUCUCAGAUACCCAGUAUCGUCGGUAUUAUGUGCGUGGACAUAUUUGUCGAUGUUACGCUUGCUGGGAGCGGCGUCCAAAGUGCAGGGUGAGCGGCUGAGCAAACACAGGGUGAUGGAUCCGUCGAGCCAAGCAUCCAGGUCCUCGGAGUGGGAUUCGCAUCACAGGGCGUUAGAGUGACCCCCACCCAAGGUUCCAUCUGCGGAUGCUGAAGUCAACGUUCACAUGCAGAAGCAGCGGUUUCCCUUCAGCGACGUAACGCACGACCGGUUGCCGUCUUCUGAGACCACAAGUAGCAGCUACACAAACAGCACGUUAAAAUGGGUGGCCACUCCAGUUCAUGCAGUGAGGCGGCCUGCGAACUGCUACAGCUCCGCCAGGGUAAUCGGUCGGUUCCUGAACACACAAUCCAGUUUCGAACACUGGCAACGUCUUGCAGAUGGGGAGGGACCACAGAGUUUGGUGCAUUUUAUCAGAGUCUGUCAGACUCCAUUAAAGGUGAGCUGGCUGCACACGAUCUCCACAACACACCGGAGAC